rnacentral:rRNA from 1 species
AGUGAACGCUGGCGGUAGGCCUAACACAUGCAAGUCGAACGGCAGCACAGUAAGAGCUUGCUCUUACGGGUGGCGAGUGGCGGACGGGUGAGGAAUACAUCGGGAUCUACUUUUUCGUAGGGGACAGCGUAGGGAAACUUACGCUAAUACCGCAUACGACCUACGGGUGAAAGCAGGGGAUCUUCGGACCUUGCGCGAUUGAAUGAGCCGAUGUCGGAUUAGCUAGUUGGCGGGGUAAAGGCCCACCAAGGCGACGAUCCGUAGCUGGUCUGAGAGGAUGAUCAGCCACACUGGAACUGAGACACGGUCCAGACUCCUACGGGAGGCAGCAGUGGGGAAUAUUGGACAAUGGGCGCAAGCCUGAUCCAGCCAUACCGCGUGGGUGAAGAAGGCCUUCGGGUUGUAAAGCCCUUUUGUUGGGAAAGAAAAGCAGCAGGUUAAUACCCCGCUGUUCUGACGGUACCCAAAGAAUAAGCACCGGCUAACUUCGUG